rnacentral:lncRNA from 1 species
CUAAGGAACCUCCAUGCUGCUUUCCAGAGUGGUUUUACCCAUUAGUGCAUUUUGUUUUCUGCUGCUGCAUAAUAAAUUAUCAAAAACUGCUGCUUGAAACAGCACACACUUGUUAACUUGAAAUGUCUGUGGGUCUAAAGUGAGGACAGUUUGGCUGGGUCAUCUGUUCAGGAUCUCACAGGCUGCAGAAAAAUCUUUUUGCCAAGGUUUGGUAUCUUCAGAGCUUGACUUUAGAGGAUCUGUUCCAAGCUCCAGGGUUGUACAGUUCAAUCCUUAUAGCUGUAGGAUUGAUGUCAAGCUGUUCCUUCAAAAACAGCACCAGAGAGAGACUCACAAGAAGGGCACUAUGAGGUCAUAAUUUACAUACAGUCCCAAGGACCCAUCACCUUUGUUGCAUUCCAUUAGCUGGGAGCAAAUCACAGGUCCUGUCCUAGCUGGAGGAAGAAGGGAAUUCCACAAGUAUGGGGGGCAGGGAUCAUGGAGGCCUCCUUACACCAUAAUUGCAAUUCCCUUUUCAAUCUAAAAUUUGGAUAUAUUUUAUUAUCAGUUAGUUUAAAAUAUUUUCUACUUAGAUCUUCAGGUUAUUUAGAAGUAUGUUAAUCUUCAAAAUUGUGUGUCUUUCAGGCCAAAAACCUGUUCCCUUCAUCUUUUCUCACUACAAUGCUAAAUAAUAUGCGUAUUCUAAGUGGCACAGUUUCCCAAGGACAAUGUAAAAUUGCACAGGCCACAUGUGUGAGGUCAUUUUCCAUCCCUGGUGAAGGAGGAGGAAGAAGAAACAGCAGCUUUUGACAUGAACAAGAUUGUUUCUGAAACCCCUGUGAUGUUAUUUGCCUUGUUUUUCUAGAAAUGAGAUAAUUUGCUUAACAUAGGUAGGAAGUAUCCCUUCUUUCUCAUAUUCAAGGAUUAGUUAAGUAUUGGCGUUUGUUCCAUAGCUUAGUUUCAGCUUGGUUGUUUUUGUCAGUUUUUUCAGAGUUGUUUUCAGAACCCCAAACACUGGCCUUCCCUUCUCAAGGGGCCCUACAAGGUCUGCUUCUCAACCUCCCUGCCAGAGUGCUUUAUGCUCGCCCCCCCACACACACUUUUUUCUGCAUCUUUAGAAACAAAAGAUGGAAAUAGCAUAGUAACUCAACUGCCCUAUUUUUACUUAUAUAGAGUAUUACAUCAAACUGCUGCAGAAUGCACAUUUAUUUCAAAUGCAGAUGUAUUGCCACUUUCCAAAAUAAACAUUCUGGGGGCCAUAAAGAAUCUCAAAACAUUUUUUUUUUCCCUAAUGGAACUGGGAAUUGAACCCAAGACCUCAUGCAUGCUAGCC